rnacentral:sRNA from 2 species
GCGAGGUGCCAGAAAAGUUGAUGCAAUUGUAUUCUAACGUCAUAUUUUGAUCUCAACUGAUGCCUUUGAAAGAUUCAUCGAGAUCCGCCGUCCAGCGCGAGCCAGCUUGAUGGUGUAAAAGAAAGGGCGUUGCUUUCGCACAGCACUCAACUGUCCGUUUAGGUAGUCGUGUCAACUUGAUUGAACUCAUGAAAAACGACCUAUCCAUCUUAUUUAUUCCGGGCCUGUUUUAGGGAUCCGAAAAAUUUCAAUUGCGGGUUUCUCGCUGGUGCCCAUGUGGCAAGCAAUGUUAUCGGCGGUUACGAAAAGGAUGUUCCGUGCCAGAUGUUGUAGAUUCAGAGGGCUUAGGAAGCACCAAUUGCCCUGGCACCAGGCCUCACCCUCAAAGCUGCCUUAAGCAACGGGGCGUUUUGCGCUUCCGGAAGUUGCAUGGAUAGUUUUGUUUACUCAGGCAUUAGGGAGAAAAGAGAGAAGACAAUGGGUCAAACAAUUUUUGCCCAGUUUCAUCCAGUAAUUAUAUGAUGUUCACUUACGAUUUUGUCAAGUUCGAUUGAUCUGCACGAAGAAAAAAAAUUAAAAAUAAAAAAAAUAAAAAUAAAAACAUGUACGCCCUUCUAUGUACAAGUUCAUAAUUCAUACCUCAAUCGAGUAGCUAUGCCUUUGGUCUUUUUUUUUUCAAUAAAUUAGCCACACAUUCACAGGCUAGAAAGAAGGUUAAAAUGAACAACGGGUUGCGAGGGUAGGUGAAGGGUUUCAUGAGAGAGGAAGUGUAAAUCCGGGAGGAACAAAAACCGCCUGAAAAAAAAAUAAAAUAAAAUAAAAAGAGGAAGAAAAAUCACACAUGUAAAAGAAGCUGUAAUCUGUAUUGCUUAUUUCCUUACCAUUUAACCGAUUACUUUCCGGCUUAACAUAGACACAAGACGUUAAAGAAGAAAAACAAAAUUUUUAUAAUCAGACCAAGCCAGACCGGGGAAAACAAGGAAAAGAAAAAAAAAGAAGCAAAAAUCUUAUUACACGGGAACGAAAGAUGAAUAGACAGAAACCGAAGCUAAAAUGAAACGAAAAGGGUGGAUAGACCCUCAACACGCGGCCUCACUGAGGCAGACCGACAGAAGAAAACACGCCUGGCUUUAUCUCAAAAGCAAAUGGAAUGUCGCUGGACCAAAUCGAUAUCAAGACGUUCAAUGCCAAGUAUGAGAGAGCCCCUUAAUCAUAAUAGUCGUCGAACAGCGAAAGAAGAGGAAGAACGGAUGUCUAAAAUGGAAGGGAGGAGAUAGUGGGCGGAAGAUGGAGAAUUAAAGGUAGAGUCGGCGUCAAAUAUAUAUGUUUGUAUGAAUGUAACUAUCAUGAUCAAUCAUCUCGUAAUCAAGUCUAAGUAUUAAGACAAAGUGUUAAAAUGGUUUCAAGCAGGAUAUAGAAUGAUAAUGGAAGUAUGGGAGGGAAAAUGAUGAAAGUGCAACAUUUGACAACGGGGUAUAGAAGGGUGAACAGAGAGCAGAGGUGUAGAAUAGAGAGAGCAAAGUGGGUGUAAACGUCGCGGGGUGGAAGCGUAGCGAAGAGGAGAAAGACAACAUUUUAUGCGCUAACAAUUUGCUCAGGAGUGAUGUAAUUAAGCUUCUCCUGCGACAUGUUAUGCCGGGCCGAGCUGUCAUUUUGUUUGGGAGAAUGAGACGGAGAGCUCCGCUCUGCAGGGCUAGGUUGGCUGUUUGAGCCUAGUGAGGAAUUCUUUGUUGAAUCUUUAGCAUCCUGAUCCUGAUCCUGGGUUUGAUCCUGACUGGAUGGAAAGAUUUGAGAUGCCAGAGUUUGCUGGCCAAGGCUGGGUUGGGCGGUAUCGGUUGCUUCCUCGACAACAAAAUUGAUCGCAAUAGGAUUGGUUGCGGUAAAAGCCGAUCCAUCCUCUUCACUUAGGGAGGUGGCCCCUUUGGGGGUUUCAGAAGCGACUCCAUGUGAUGUGUUUUGAUUAUUUAAGCUCUUACCAGUCGCUGUGCUGAC